rnacentral:rRNA from 1 species
GACGGAGGGGGCAAGCGUUGUUCGGAAUUACUGGGCGUAAAGCGUGCGCAGGCGGCUUUGCAAGACAGAUGUGAAAUCCCCGGGCUUAACCUGGGAACUGCAUUUGUGACUGCAUGGCUAGAGUGCGGCAGAGGGGGAUGGAAUUCCGCGUGUAGCAGUGAAAUGCGUAGAUAUGCGGAGGAACACCGAUGGCGAAGGCAAUCCCCUGGGCCUGCACUGACGCUCAUGCACGAAAGCGUGGGGAGCAAACAGG